rnacentral:rRNA from 1 species
UACAGAGGUGGCGAGCGUUGUUCGGAUUUACUGGGCGUAAAGGGCGCGUAGGAGGCCAGGUGUGUCGAUCGUGAAAUCUCCGGGCUCAACCCGGAAAGUGCGGUUGAAACUGCCUGGCUCGAGCAGAGGAUGGGAAAGCGGAACUCAGGGUGUAGCGGUGAAAUGCGUUGAUAUCCUGAAGAACACCGGUGGCGAAGGCGGCUUUCUGGAAUCUCGCUGACUCUGAGGCGCGAAAGUAGGGGGAGCAAAC